ensembl:lncRNA
AGUAACUGUUGAAAGAUAUGUAGAACUGUUGAAGGAGAGUACUUGGUACUUGAGGUGAGAUUUUAGGAAAAAAUCCAGUCAGGAUAUCUCCUUUCUGUUACCCACUGUUGUGGAGUUUCCUUGUGCAUUCGUUGCUCAGAAUGGAUGCUUUGAAUUUGUCAGCACAUUAUAAUGGACAUUUGCUCUUAAAAUUAGGUGGUUUUUUUUUUCUCCCACUACAAUGUCAAAUUUUGUUUUAGCUAUUUAUUCGUUACUGUAAAACUAAUUCCCUUCAAGGGGGUAGCAUAAUGAAGGUUCACACAACUGCAAAGAAGGAAACCCAGUCAGCCCCAUAAUUCUUCCUCUCUGAAAGGAGAAUGAGAGAUCAUUAAUAUGACCCCUACAUUCUAAAUAAAAUGUAUUCUUUAGAAUAUAUUAAUUUGUCCAUUUUAGGAGAAUGGCUUAGUCACAGUGUUUUAACUACUUAAAAUGAUAACCACUGGUCUGCCAGUUUGUUAUCUGCACUUAAAUGCUGAACUGAACUACAGUUGUUCAUUGUAGUCUCUCCUGUAAUGAAAUUCAUUAAUGAUGGCAUAUUUAGAGCUUACAUGGAAAAGGUCAACUUCUUUUGUAUAUUGUCCUCUUUUAAUUAAGUUGAGGGUCCUUGAAAGCAAUUUAAGCCCGAAAGUCUUGAUGGAUUUAUCAUUUUCCUCUUAGAGUAAACUAAAUGCCAUUUGUAUGUAAAGGAUCAAGCUUCUUCAACUCCAGCGCGAUCUUUGAAAGUCGUACAUUUGACAGGUUCUUGGAGAAGCAUGUUUUGCAGCUUAAUUGCAUGAGGAUGAACAAGAUUAGGAAACAAAAUGCAAGGGUUCUGGCAAGAAGGGAAGAUUGGCCCUCUUGCUCAUUUGCUGAGUUACUUCCCCUCCUCUGUAUUCAAUACCAAUGGGUCACCAAGACAACAGGAGGCAGGAUGCACUGGGUGGAGUUGCAUUUGCAACUGGGAACCACUGUGUUUAGGCUUUUGAAAGUCAUAACAGGGAUGAUGCUAACAUUUAUAUAUAAAGUUCUGUUUGAUUAUUUGGACUACCAUUUGUGCGCAAAAGUGAACAUUUGAUGGUUCUUGCUGAAUAUGUUAUUUUACAGACUCUCUAUAAAUUUGAAAGGAACAAAAUGUCUUGCACUUCAUUUUCACAUGCAGCAGACAGUCCACAGAGUGAAUUUAAUAAACUUCCCAAACAUGUGGCGGUAAGGCUGUGCUGAAAUGACUUGUUCAAGGUCAAUGGGAGAUGAAGGAAUUUCGGGUGUCAAAAUAUCCUAUGCUAAUUAUCACUUGGUUAUUCUCUUCAUUUGCAUUUUCGUUGACAGUGUGUUUUUUUUCCUCUAAAGUAGAAGAAAGUGAUUCUGAAAACCUUUUUCCAAAUAAAACAAGCUUGUGAGAAUUUUGCUGCCAACAAAUCUAUUCCACUAUUCUUGAUUUCAGUUCUUUUACCAGGAAGGAAAGAUUCUGGAUGAAACCCCUCUGAAAGCUGAGUGAGCAGCAUCAUCUCCUUCCACUGGAUCCUGUGGUGGACACAUGUGUAACUCAGUCUGUACCAUCUAGCCCAGUGGAUUUUAUCUUACUUUCUCUGGAAAGUAAAUAUCAUUCUUUUGCUAGGAUUGAGAUACAUCACCAGGAGCAAGAGGUAAACUCCUUUCAGAGCUUUUUCCAGCUAUGAGAGAAGACAGCAAACAGCGACAGGAACUCCUACAAGGAGCAUCCAUGUUUCACCUGCCUCUCUUAAGCAGCCUGAAUUUGGAAAUCUCCAGACCAGAGUGAUACUAGAAAAAGCACAGAACCUGAUAAAUAACAAUGGGUUUGGCCCAAGCCCAAUGGGAGGCCAAUAUGGUGUGUGUUCUGACACAAGAGAGCAGGUCAUUUCUCCAGUGUGUGCUGCAGGAAGCCUGUGUUAAAAGAAGCAGGCCUUAGAAGGUGCUACAGUGCACAACCAUCAGAGUCAGAAAUCUGGGAUCAAAUUCUGGUGACCUAUUGACUAGAAGUGUUAACUUGAACAAGUCAAUGGACCACUCUUGACCUGUUUCCUUGUUUGCAAAAUGAGUAUAAUAACAUCAUCCACAUUACAGAGAUAUUGCAUGAAUUAAAUGAGAGAAGGCAUACUAGCUGGCACAUUUUUAUGUCUCAUACACAGAGACACACAGACACACACACACACAGACACACACACACACACACACACACACACACAGAGAGAGAGAAAGAGAGAGAGAGAGAGAGAGAGAGAGA